UGGGGAAUUGUUCACAAUGGGCGCAAGCCUGAUGACGCAACGCCGCGUGGGGGAUGAAGGUCUUCGGAUCGUAAACCCCUGUCGAAUGGGACGAAAGACUCGCGAGUGAAUACUUCGCGAGAGUGACGGUACCGUUAAAGGAAGCCACGGCUAACUCUGUGCCAGCAGCCGCGGUAAUACAGAGGUGGCAAGCGUUGUUCGGAAUUACUGGGCGUAAAGCGCACGUAGGCGGGUUUGUAAGUAGGGGGUGAAAUCCCAGGGCUCAACCCUGGAACUGCCUUCUAAACUGCAAGCCUGGAGGUCAGGAGAGGCGAGUGGAAUACCGAGUGUAGAGGUGAAAUUCGUAGAUAUUCGGUGGAACACCAGUGGCGAAGGCGACUCGCUGGACUGAUACUGACGCUGAGGUGCGAAAGCGUGGGGAGCAAACAGGAUUAGAUACCCCAGUAGUCCCUGAGCGGGCUGGCAAGGCGCAU
rnacentral:rRNA from 1 species